CUGGCGGCGGCUGGCGGCUGGUCCUGGGGGCCGGGGCGGAGCCUCGGGCAGUGGCUGCAGGUGGGCGGAGAGGCGGGGGUUCGCACCCCGACUGGGGGCUGCUUGGCGGUGAGCGAGGGGGAGAGGAGAGCUGGAGCCGAGGGGGCGCGCGGCGAGGGGGCGCAGGUGGAGCGCGAGCUUGGCCUCUCCCCGCAGCCCUGCUCGAGGUGCUGCAGCUUCUCCCUGCCCGGAACUGGGCCCCGGGGGAGUAGGAAACCCACGUUUUCAGACGGUGGUUCCGGGAGCAGCUCUGAAGUUAAAUAAUUCCACUGCGCUACGGAGACAGAGGACCUGCAGGCCGACCUGAGUUUAAGAACCCCAACUAAGAGCCCGCCCGGACUACUCAGGGAAAGGCGCUUGGGAUGCUCUCGACAGGGCUUCAUUUCCAUUAAUACAAAGUUUUCAUUUAAAGGUUAAACUUAGGUAAUCUUGAGAUACUAACUUUGUAUAUUUUAUACUUUGUCAGUGAGGGCCCUGUUUAUUUCUAGACUGGGGUGAGAUUCUAAUUGAUGUUAUUCAAGUUAAUUCAAAAGAAUUUACUUCACUCCUAUUUUAUCACACCUAAAAAUGUUGACAUUUUUGGUUUUGGUUGGAUUGAAAUCUCUAUCGGGGAGACAUCUCCAAUUAUUGAAUAAUUUUAACCCAGCCUUGGAAUUAGAAUUUUUUAUAUCCUUCUCCCUGUACAAAAUUUAACAAAAUUUUUCUUUCACUGGGGUCUCCCCACUUCCCUGGCCAGCCUUCUCCCACCAAGUUGUCUUAAAAGCAGUUUAAAUAAAUGCUAGUGUCCUUGUUUGGAAACUUGCACCGCGGCAGCAGUGGGGGUGGCUCUUGGUGAUGCACCUGGGCGGUCAUCAGGACGUCUGCCUCAGCUCGGUUUUCUCCCGCCUUGAAGGCUGAAGAGAAGGCGUGCCUGCUGCCGGGGCCAGUGUGGGUAAAGCCAUCUUCAGUCAGCCCUAACUCGAUCCCACCACGUGUUCGCCCCUCCUCGGUGUGACCUGCUGACCGCUUUGGUCAGAUUUUGCACCGUGUUUCAGAUACAAUUUUAAUGUGGCUUUGUGCGGAUGCUUUGCAGAUAAAAUGUGGAUAUUUACAUAGCAUCAAAAUUCUUGGGUCCUGAAAUGGAGAUUUAUAUUUUGCUUAAAUAAAUGAAUGAAUGAGAAAUGAAUUAUUUGUCAAAAGACACCCUGAGGUAAUUCAGCAAUCAACUACUAAAGUAGGACAACAACAAAAUAAGUCACUAGAGGCCAUUCUUACUGUUCAGUCAACAGGAUGUCAAGGAACUUUUCCUUGAGGGGAAUAAAACAAUCAAUCCCGGGGU
rnacentral:lncRNA from 1 species